rnacentral:misc_RNA from 1 species
UACGUAGGGGGCAAGCGUUAUCCGGAUUUACUGGGUGUAAAGGGAGCGUAGACGGCAUGGCAAGUCUGAUGUGAAAGGCAGGGGCUCAACUCCUGGACUGCAUUGGAAACUGCCGGGCUUGAGUGCCGGAGGGGUAAGCGGAAUUCCUAGUGUAGCGGUGAAAUGCGUAGAUAUUAGGAGGAACACCAGUGGCGAAGGCGGCUUACUGGACGGUAACUGACGUUGAGGCUCGAAAGCGUGGGGAGCAAACAGG